AGGGGUGCCUAAGCCCUGGCAGACCCCCUUUCGAGCCCCACCGCAGAGUCUGGGGGUAACAUGCAGCCACCAC